ACAAAACAGAUGGUCGAAGAGCUUGUCAACAAACCAGACUUUGUAACACAUGCGCAAAUGCGAGUUCAUGAGGGCUUUUGCAUUUUGAGUACCAUUUAAAGGCCGGCAGAACUACAAAGAAGGCGGAUGGAAAGCCGAGCCAGCUAAGGUAGAGGAAACUUUCAAUGCAGUUGCCUAGGUGCAAACUUGAAUAAUGUCAUAGGAACCAAUUCUGCAGUUGGAAUGACUAGACUUGUCUUCUAAAAGAAUGGAAAGAAAUUCCAACAAAACAGAGCAUCAGUUGUUGAACUAUUUGAGAAGAGGGAUCUACAGUACUUAAAGCCUCUACUGAAGAUAGAGUAACAAACAUAAUCAAGGAAAAGGCAUUUUCCAUACGUUUACAUUAAAGUGUGUUGUUUUUUUACUUGAGGAUUGAGUUUGCUUCAGAACCCAUGCCCACAUAAAAUGUGACAUAUGGAGUUCCAUCUAUAUACUGUAAAUCUUGACGAUGAGGUCUGACUGAGAUUUCGAGCUACAGUAGGAGAACUUUGCUCAGGGAAUCCUCAGGGGAUCUGCCGUCCAUGCACCGGCAGUCAGUGAGUGAAACAAAUUGGGGGCUAUGACAGACAUGUGACUAAUGUCAAUCCUCCUCCUACACCCAGGAGACCAAACUGUACAGGCAAGAUUAAUAAAAUAUUAAUGAUCAAUGACUUCAAAGUGAGUCAUAAUGCCUCAGGCGAUGUGGCCCAUUCCGAAUGCCCACUGUCACCACUGACGUGCACCAUGUGUCAUUGAAAAGAAUGUUUACAUGCUCAGUAAUCUUGGGGAGGGAGUAUUUAUCUACUGAAUAUAUAAAGAUGUAUUUAAUGUCUUGUUAUAUUGCUAUAAAUUAGCUAAAUUGUUUUAGGCUGGUUUGAGGAUACUCAUGAAAUAUUGUAAUGUGGAAAUAACAGUGCAAAUGACGGUAAUGCAUCUGGAUUAAUACAUUUUCACAAAGGUGUAAAAGGUGAAAUCAAUCAUAUUAUUUUCUUCUGUUUUAUGUAAAUAUAAAGCCCACUACGCCUUCCGGAACUUGUACAGGGUCAGUUUACUAAUCUCUUUUUCUUCCAUUCUCUCCAGGGUCUUUGGAUGCUCUACUUUCACACUGUGUAAAUGAUACUAGUCGGAAAGAGGUGGCAUUUGUCAAAAGUUGGUAUGGGGGCAGUUUCUGAAGGACCUGGUCAAGAUGCCACAGAUAAGCAGAGAGGUCAGGUACACAUGUGCAUGUUUUAACAGGAACAUCGCUGAGACAAAGUUCCUCUAAAUUCCAAAAGGCUACAGGGGUAUCACUAAAGCCACAGUGCAUCUUUUCACACUCAAACAAGUCUAUUAGUGUUAUGCCUGGAUAGGAUAAAAGCUGCUAAUUAUAAUAUACGUCAAAAGAAAAACUUUAUACGGUAUGUUCGAGCCUCGGUGUGUGGAGUUGGCAUGUUCUCCCCAGGUCAUCGUGAGGUUUCCUCCGGGUAUUUUGGUUUCCCUCCACAGUCCAAAAACAUGCUGAGGUUAAUUGGACUUACCAAAUUGCCCAUAGCUGUGAGUGUGUGAGUGUGUGAAUGUGCCCUGCGGUGUCUUAGUGUUCCAUCCCGGAUUGUUCCCUGCCUUGUGCCCAGGCUCUGGACCUCUGUGACCCUGAAUAGGACAAGCGUUUACAGAAAAUGGAUGGAAAUUCAUCUUCACUAACAACAGGGUUUAUUUUACAAUAGUCUUUGAUUCUAAUUUCUUUUUUACUAUCAUAAUUGGAAAUUCCAUCAGCAUGAUAUUCAGAGUUGGGUAAUUGAGGUCCAGAGACCAGUCCAGACCAAGAUUUUGUUUCAACCAACCAGUCACAGUCACAGAGUAUUCAACUGGUUAGUUGAAAGAAAAUCCCUGUCUGGACUUUUACUUUAAAAAUAAGUCUAAUGAUAUUCCAUGCUAAACCUCUUUUUGUUGUUGUUUCUCCUUAACAUAAUGGGUGAAUCCCAUGUGGGUAGGGUGCCUGAAGAUGACCCUUGUGUCCAAAAUAUCCUGCAGAAGUCCAUGUACUUCCGGAUUGUCGCUAGGCAGAAGUUACUUCAGUCUUCAUGGAAAUAAACGCGCUGCCUUUACAGUGACUAUUGAUCUUCCCCAUACUGAGGCAAGCUUUAUAGGUUGAGAUCUUGAUGACCUUGUCUCUAGGCAUUCUGACUCAUUGAAUUAGUUUUACACCAGGGGUGCAUUUCUGGGAAAUCUACCACCCCUAAAGGAAGCCUGCCAAAAACAACAGAUGAUAUUUCUCCCCGGCAACCCAGGGACAUAAGAAUUUAUGCGGUACUGUGGGCCUUGCAAACCUACAGUACACAACCUUUACAAAGCUAUCCAUUUCAAGCCCAAUGAAGCCAGCAUGUAGAAGAGAAUGUUCACGCCGCGCCUGUCAAGUGAGCACAAUGAAUCAAUAAAAACGCAAACCGUGGACUGCUCCCCUCCUCAUCCGCGGACAACACUCACCUAUGACCCACACUCCAAAUCCACUAAAUAUAUUUUCUUGUCUUUUCUUGUCUCAUCACUACUAAUUCAAUGACUCUCAACAUCAUAAAAAUGACAAGCCAUGAUGUAAUAACCUUUACCGCUUUGUUUAAUUUAAAAUUAUUAAUGUCCAUUUCACUUGACAAGGCACCAAGGUUGCAUAAAAUUGGAUUGUAAUGAAA